rnacentral:rRNA from 1 species
GAUGAACGCUAGCGGCAGGCUUAACACAUGCAAGUCGAGGGGUAUAGUAGCAAUACUAGAGACCGGCGCACGGGUGCGUAACGCGUAUGCAAUCUACCUUUCACAGAGGGAUAGCCCAGAGAAAUUUGGAUUAAUACCUCAUAGUAUACUACCUUGGCAUCAAGGAAUUAUUAAAGUCACAACGGUGAAGGAUGAGCAUGCGUCCCAUUAGCUAGUUGGUAUGGUAACGGCAUACCAAGGCGACGAUGGGUAGGGGUCCUGAGAGGGAGAUCCCCCACACUGGUACUGAGACACGGACCAGACUCCUACGGGAGGCAGCAGUGAGGAAUAUUGGACAAUGGGCGCAAGCCUGAUCCAGCCAUGCCGCGUGCAGGAUGACGGUCCUAUGGAUUGUAAACUGCUUUUGUACAGGAAGAAACACUCCCUCGUGAGGGAGCUUGACGGUACUGUAAGAAUAAGGAUCGGCUAACUCCGUGCCAGCAGCCGCGGUAAUACGGAGGAUCCAAGCGUUAUCCGGAAUCAUUGGGUUUAAAGGGUCCGUAGGCGGUCUUAUAAGUCAGUGGUGAAAUCUCCCCGCUCAACGGGGAAACGGCCAUUGAUACUGUAAGACUUGAAUUAUUAGGAAGUAACUAGAAUAUGUAGUGUAGCGGUGAAAUGCUUAGAGAUUACAUGGAAUACCAAUUGCGAAGGCAGGUUACUACUAAUGGAUUGACGCUGAUGGACGAAAGCGUGGGUAGCGAACAGGAUUAGAUACCCUGGUAGUCCACGCCGUAAACGAUGGAUACUAGCUGUUGGAAGCAAUUUCAGUGGCUAAGCGAAAGUGAUAAGUAUCCCACCUGGGGAGUACGUUCGCAAGAAUG